UAAUGUAUGGGGAUCUGCCCGAUAGAGGGGGAUAACUACUGGAAACGGUGGCUAAUACCGCAUAAUGUCUACGGACCAAAGCAGGGGCUCUUCGGACCUUUGCACUAUCGGAUGAACCCAUAUGGGAUUAGCUAGUAGGUGGGGUAAAGGCUCACCUAGGCGACGAUCUCUAGCUGGUCUGAGAGGAUGAUCAGCCACACUGGGACUGAGACACGGCCCAG
rnacentral:rRNA from 1 species